GAGAUAAAGUAUAUCUGUUCUGCUGCAAGUUACAUGCCAAGAUCAAAAGAAAGAAUAUCAACACUCUGUAACAACAAUGUGCCAUGUUGCCAAAAGGAGACAUUUAUGAAUAUUCUACAAGCACAAGUAUAUUGCCAAUACUCUUGUGCAAAAAGAAACAUAGAAAAUUAUGUGUUAGUUUUCUUUUCUUUUCUUAUUUUUUUUAAGUUGUGUUGGGUUUGAUCAGCUACUAUGAACAACUCACAGAAAAUUCAAUUUGACCUAGAAAUAUAUGUUUUUUUUCUCUCUCUCGUUGAUUAGGUUUUUUGGCUUAGUAAUUUAGGAGCAUUACAAACAGGUUUUUAAAUUUAGUAACCUUAUCUUGCUCUAUAAAGUAAUUCAAUUGUGAUAUCAUAUUGGCCGAACCCUCCACAAUCUUCAUUUUCUCUCAGAUUUAAGCACAUGAAGGCCUUCUGUUCUAAAGACUGUUGGCAACAAAUUGAAGCAGUCUCUCCAAGUCUCAACUUUCUCUCGCUAUUAUUUCAGGUCCCAUCCAGACUCUUACCAAAUGCUAUAAAAAGGGACCAGAAAAUUUUAGAGCAAUGAGAGAGGAAACAAUUGCAUGAAUGUGGACUCAUUGCCAUAAACAAAUAUGUUUAACUGCAACAUUUUCUAGUCAAUACUCUGAUAAUACUCUACACACAAGUACUAAGGUAUGAUCUUGACAAAAAGUUGCUACAUAUCUAUCUACCAAAUCAAGCCCAUGUAUUUUAGGUGCACGGUGUACAAAGAGCCCCAAACCUACAUGCAACAGAGCAUAAGUUUAUUGCAGACCAAGGUCAUACCAAUAACUUUUGACUUGAAUCUAAAAUGAACAGAGUGUCUAUAAAAAAAUAACCCUUAAAAUAUAAAAUUGGUGUAAGCCAAUGGAUAAUUCACCACAGAGCAACAAAAAAUCAGGUGCAGUGUUCUAUGAAACUUCAAGGGGACUGACACUGCCAAAAGACUGACUUAGUUUAGUUGAAAUCCAGAACUAGAUAGGUUCUAGUGCUUUAGUAUCUCAUUUCUAGUCUCCUGUGCCUAGAGGGGGUUCACCAAUUUAAAUUUUCAAUUGUCAAAUGAAUACUAACAAUGCAUAAUGAGACAAGAAUUUCAACUUUCAUGCAGCAAAUAUAAGUUCUAUACAGAAAACAAAGCUCAACAACAUUCAGUUACAUAAUUGGGGAACAAGCACCAAGUACAACAGGGAUAAGUUUAGAACAAAACGAGGAUUCAUCAUUCUGGCAUCAAGACAAUAAAUGUUAUCAGAAAGCUCUAAAAAUUGGAAAUGUUGUCCCAACUACUAUUUGGGUUCUUGAGUUAAAGACAGAUGUUGAUGUAACUGAUCUCUGUAGAUAUGGCUUACUUCAGCGGCUAAUGAAAAUUAUCAAUGAAACGAUCCUCACCCUCAAAUGAUACUUGUAUAAUGAAUUAUGAUUCAUCUAUCUACCCCAAGUUAAACUACAAAUCCACCUUCCUUUGGCGUCUGAGUUCCAUCUGUCCAUGCAAUAAACUAACACCAUUCUGUUAACAUCUACCAUAUGGCAGGAGACCCAAUCUCUCUACAACUUGCAAACAAAGAAACACAGUAAUACUGCCCUAAAUUCAUAUCAAUUUCAGAUAAUUGAAUCCUAGUUUCAUUCAACUCCAUGCACCAUCAUUCGUCUUUUAACUCAUAACCUUCUCUUGUGUUUCAUUUCAAAAUCAAGAUUACUGAACAUUCUCAUCAAAUUGAAGUCUCUAGAUCAACAAUUAUUUUAUUGAACAACUAUCAUGCAUAUAUAUAAAAGCAGUUGUCAGUUACUCCACUAACAAGUGAGUCGGCUU
rnacentral:misc_RNA from 1 species